UUUAGCAAAAUUUAUCUCUCAGGAAUAGAAAUCUUUAUAGCUCAUAAUAUAUCUUUCUCAAAAUUUAGCAAUAGAAAUCUUCAAAUCUCAAUAUCCCUUUGAAGAAAUUCAUCAAAUCCACAACUUAAAAGGCUAUCAUCUGCCAUCUAAUGAGAUGACUAAAUGUGAACCUAUCUGAUGCGAAGAAAUAACAAAGAAAGAAAAAAAACUGUAUCUGAUGCAAGUUUCUCAGUACAACAUUCUUCAGACUUCUAGGGUAAGCUUGUAUCCGGUACGCUUUCCAUGAAUCAAUAAAGCCAUGUUUACCUUUGCUAUUAGUUCUUCAAGUAACUUUCUGUAGCAUUCCAACAUCUUUAGCCAAAAAUCAGAAACUACUCCAGUUGAGUUCUGAACAAGGACCUACACACAUUAGAGUAAUUACUGAAAGCCCAUUCGAUAGCGAAAUUAAAACCACAUAGCAAAUAAUAUAAGGAAGUGGUUAGGUUUAAUUUAAAUUUUUUCAGACAACUUAUGAAGGGCUGUUGCUACGACCAAAAUAACAUGUCUGAUGCUUGUUUUAUCAUUAGAAAAAAAAUGAGGGGGCAGAAAUAUAACGAAUAAGAAUCACAAAAACUAGUUCCAGAAGAAAGCAUCAAGCAACAAAUAAUUCAUCUCAAACUCUGACAUCAAAAUUUUUUAAAACAACAUCAGUAUUUGAGCCAAAGAUCCUCACAAUUGGAACUUAGAAACCACAUAACUGUUGCACAGGUUAGAAUAGAAUCUUCAACAAUGUUAUUGUUUAAAGCUUACUUUCCUGAAUAAGAUGGCAAUGCUUGCAACAUAUUGAAGAUACUACAGUACUUUGUUCCAAGGCAGGUGCAAAUCCUACAUAUCAAGCACAUAUCAAUGCUAAUCAAGCUGUACAUACAAUGUCAAAGCUCAACUGGAACAAUGUUUGCAGCAUACUAGUGUUUAAUAUACAAAUAGAUAAAACACAAAAUGGUUGUAAUAGUUCACUAGGACAGCUGUCUUUCUCUUAUUAGUUAUUUUAGAAUAGUUAGGAUUGCUUAUGUAAUAGUAUAUAAAGCCUUGUACUGUAACAUUUCCAUCAGUUAGUUAUGAGAGCUAAGUUGUUUCUUCCUACGUUCCUUUUUUCAUUUUCUUCCUCUGGGUUUUUUUCUGUUGAAUAGCUGAAUAUUGAAUGGUCAGAUUUGCAAACUUAUCACAACAAAAUGAAAAUAGUCCACAUAAACUAUACAAAUCUAUAAAGGAAGGGCAUUUUUGCCUUGAAGAUCUAUAUAAAUCUAGGGACUGAAAAUGACAUGACACUGAACUAUAUACUUGCAGUCCACAGAUAUUCCUUCCUGGACCAAGAUUGCAGAUAUUUACCAAACCACAGACCUUCGUAAGGAAUUUUAAAUACUCUUAAUCUCGUAUGAACAAUCUAACCUUAAAAAUGACCAUGCAAAAUACCCACAUAAAAAUAUGCAAACUACUAGCAGAAGAGAAAUUUUUGAUGAUUCAGAGUCCGGAC
rnacentral:lncRNA from 1 species